GUCGCGGUGGUGGAAUUGGUAGACACGCAGGUUUGAGGGACCUGUGGAGCAAUCUGUGGGGGUUCGAGUCCCCCCCGCGACA
rnacentral:tRNA from 1 species